CAUUAAGAAGCUAUAAAGCGUUAACCUUUUAAGUUAAAGAUUGAAGGUANUCUAGCCCUUCCUUAAUGA
rnacentral:tRNA from 1 species